rnacentral:tRNA from 1 species
GGUGGGUUGGCUUAGUGGUUAGAACUUAUGUCUCGUAACCAAGAGGUCGCCAGAUCGAAUCCCGCUAGAAGCU